CCAACAGGGAUUGCCUCAGUAACGGCGAGUGAAGCGGCAAGAGCUCAAAUUUGAAAGCUGGCCCCCUCGGGGUCCGCGUUGUAAUUUGCAGAGGAUGCUUCGGGUGCAGCCCCCGUCUAAGUGCCCUGGAACGGGCCGUCAUAGAGGGUGAGAAUCCCGUCUGGGACGGGGUGUCUGCGUCCGUGUGAAGCUCCUUCGACGAGUCGAGUUGUUUGGGAAUGCAGCUCUAAAUGGGUGGUAAAUUUCAUCUAAAGCUAAAUACUGGCCGGAGACCGAUAGCGCACAAGUAGAGUGAUCGAAAGAUGAAAAGCACUUUGAAAAGAGAGUUAAACAGCACGUGAAAUUGUUGAAAGGGAAGCGUUUGCGACCAGACUCGCCCGCGGGGUUCAGCCGGCAUUCGUGCCGGUGUACUUCCCCGUGGGCGGGCCAGCGUCGGUUUGGGCGGCCGGUCAAAGGCCCUCGGAAUGUAUCACCUCUCGGGGUGUCUUAUAGCCGAGGGUGCAAUGCGGCCUGCCCGGACCGAGGAACGCGCU
rnacentral:rRNA from 1 species